rnacentral:rRNA from 1 species
ACGGGAGGCAGCAGUGGGGAAUAUUGGGCAAUGGGGGAAACCCUGAUCCAGCGACGCCGCGUGAGUGAAGAAGUAUUUCGGUAUGUAAAGCUCUUUAAGCAGGGAAGAAAAUGACGGUACCUGCAGAAUAAGCCCCGGCUAACUACGUGCCAGCAGCCGCGAUAAUACGUAGGGGGCAAGCGUUAUCCGGAUUUACUGGGUGUAAAGGGAGCGUAGACGGCAUAGCAAGUCUGAAGUGAAAUCCCGCGGCUCAACUGCGGGACUGCUUUGGAAACUGUCAUGCUAGAGUGUCGGAGAGGUGAGUGGAAUUCCCAGUGUAGCGGUGAAAUGCGUAGAUAUUGGGAAGAACACCGGAGGCGAAGGCGGCUCACUGGACGAUAACUGACGUUGAGGCUCGAAAGCGUGGGGAGCAAACAGGAUUAGAUACCCUGGUA